rnacentral:rRNA from 1 species
CAGCCGCCGCGGUAAUACGAAGGGUGCAAGCGUUAAUCGGAAUUACUGGGCGUAAAGCGUGCGUAGGCGGUGAGUUAAGUCUGCUGCGAAAUCCCCGGGCUCAACCUGGGAAUGGCAAUGGAUACUGGCAAGCUAGAGUGUGUCAGAGGAUGGUGGAAUUCCCGGUGUAGCGGUGAAAUGCGUAGAGAUCGGGAGGAACAUCAGUGGCGAAGGCGGCCAUCUGGGACAACACUGACGUUGAGGCACGAAAGCGUGGGGAGCAAACAGGAUUAGAUACCCCGGUAGUCCCUGUCUCUUAUAC